UGGGGAAUUGUUCGCAAUGGGCGCAAGCCUGACGACGCAACGCCGCGUGGAGGAUGAAGGUCUUCGGAUCGUAAACUUCUGUUGCCCGGGACGAAUAGCUUAGACCUAAUACGUCUGAGUAUGACGGUACCGGGUGAGGAAGCCCCGGCUAACUCUGUGCCAGCAGCCGCGGUAAUACAGAGGGGGCAAGCGUUGUUCGGAAUUACUGGGCGUAAAGGGCGCGUAGGCGGCCUGCUAAGUCGAACGUGAAAUCCCCGGGCUCAACCCGGGAACUGCGUCCGAUACUGGCAGGCUUGAAUUCGGGAGAGGGAUGCGGAAUUCCAGGUGUAGCGGUGAAAUGCGUAGAUAUCUGGAGGAACACCGGUGGCGAAGGCGGCAUCCUGGACCGGUAUUGACGCUGAGGCGCGAAAGCCAGGGGAGCAAACGGGAUUAGAUACCCUUGUAGUCCCUGAGCGGGCUGGCAAGGCGCAU
rnacentral:rRNA from 1 species